rnacentral:lncRNA from 1 species
UCUCUCGGUUUCCCAGGCAUCGGUCAAGAGCCUGCCUCCAUUAUGGCUGCUCGGGUGGUGGUGUCGGAGGAAGGAAGAGAUAAGUACGGAAGGGAAAUGAAAGAGACAGCAGGGUAACGCUGUUUGCGACUCCUGUCCAGUGCUCCCCGCUCCCGGGUCUGACAAGCCAUCGACUUGCCUCGAGUGUCCGUGCCGUGACGGAAGGCCUAUCUGCAGGCUCAGGGACCCCAUAACGGAGUUCAUCACGGAAGCAACAGGAUGGCUUUCGCCAGCCUUUGCCCGGCCUCCUCGAAGGCCUGCACUUGGCCGCGUUGUACUCAGCAAUAAGACUGUCGCAGGGGCCGUCAUGUAUUUAACGCGUGCUGGUCAAUACCGUGUUCACUCUGCAUCGGGCGCUGGAGUAUGGAUUGGAGUGCUUUGCCAGCAUUAACUCACUUCCUCGCGACGAUGCUAUGCAGUUGGUGCUGUGGUGAACAUACCCAUUCUGCAGAAGGGCAAGUGGAGACCUAGAAGGUUAUACGUGAGUCGCCCAGGAUCGCACAGUGCUGGGAUUCUGAACACAAGGCCAUAUGGCUCCGGAGCAGGUUCUGAACUGGCCAUGAUGAAGGCUAAGGAGUAGCGGAUGAGCAGAACUGAGCCACAGGGGCCGGGAUGCCGUAGAAUCUCAGUACGUGUUAGCUCGCUCUGACAAUCCUCCGGAUUGCCUCGCUUCCCUCGUCGGUUCGGCAUAAAGGUCCUGGCCCCUUUGAAUGGCGGCUUCUCAGGCCGUCACGUCCCCUCCUGCUUUUUGCCAAAGCCCCGGAUCACGAGUGCUGCUUUGGCUUCCUCCGCACGGCCUCCCGCUCCCUCCCACUGUUUAGUUAAUAAUAACAUAUCAUGUUCUGUCUCAGAUGCAUA